CGAGACUAGUACCUGCACGGACGCGCACAGGAGUGGAGAGGAUACGACCAAUCAAAAUUGGCUGCCAAACACCUGUAGGUGGCAGCGUGAACGUCUGGUCGGAACUGCUCCGGCCGGAAGUUGACGUUGCAGUUGACGCUGCAGUUGACGCUGCAGACGUAGAAGAUGAUUCGACUGGAUCCCAGAUGCCGCUGCCUGCCGCGCUGCUGCCUAAACGUUCUUUAAAAUCAAGUAUUCCGUUCAUUACAACUCAAAUGACAUGACAACAUCAGAUGACAACAUCUACGGAAAAAAAAGAAACAUACGGGCGUCUAAGGGCAUUACACAAGAACGCACAAAUCCGCAGGCUACGUCGGUGUCUGUCGCGCUAUUUCUCCCUUUAUUCUCCCAAAUCAUUUGCAUAAAAGGGUACAAGUAUCCAGCAAAGAAUUUGAAUAAUGUCGUCUGUCCGGUUUGCUCAUGUCCGGAAGCGCAGCAAAAGCAUAAUCGCCCUUUAAACAGACUCAAUCAUUUGCAAACCAAAUAUAAGCAUUGGGUUGAUACAAAAACCUCUGCCUGGUAAUAAAGUGCAUUCACAGAG